rnacentral:lncRNA from 1 species
GGGCCCCUGAAGCUAGAGGUUUGGAUCUGAUGCCCCCUUCUCCCUCAAGGAAAUUCCAGAAGGUGCCCAGUGCUUCUGCACACUCACGUUUAACCCUCUCGAGUGCUUGAGGAGUUGGUGAGCUGAAAUGAACAGAGUGCCUGGGUUCCAAUCCAGCCACCACCCUGUCAGCCGUAUAAGCGUGGGCAAAUUACAUAAUCUCUCUCUGCCUUGGGAGUUCCUGUGGUGGCUCAGUGGUGACAAUUCCAACUAAUAUCCAUGAGGAUACAGGUUCGAUCCCUGGCCUCGCUCGGGGGCUUAAGGAUCUGGCGUUGCUGUAGCUGUGGUGUAGGCUUGGCAGUUAUAGCUCCAAUUCAACCCCUAGCCUGGAAACCUCCAUAUGCCAUGGCAAGGCCCUAAAAAAGGACAGAAACCAAACCCCAAAUCUCUGUCUGCCUCGUCUGCCCAAGGGGAAUAAGAAUACUACCUACUUCAUGGAGCGGCUGUAAGGGUUAAAGGAGAAAUGCAGGGCCCUCGUGGCCAUCAGCACCCACGUGUCAGGUGGAGAUCACUCUUCUUGUCUUCAUUUUUCACAUGAGGACAUGGAGGCUGGGACUGUCCAGAGGGUGGAUGGGGGCACCUCUGAUCGUCUCUUCCGAGCUGGUCUCGUUUGCCCACAGCCGGCUUUCUUUUCAGGCCAGCUUCUUCCAGAAAUGGAGGCGGUGCUCCUUAGGAAACGGGCACCGCUCAGAGCAGAGCACCUGUGCCACCGAUGAGCCCAGGGAGGGGCUGAGCCUUGCCUGGAGUCCCCUAGCAGGUCCACCAGAGGCGAGAGCGCCUGGCUUCCAGGCUGGGCCCUUCCUGCAGCCUGGCACCUCUCCCUGCUUUUCCACCCCAGCCUCAAGAGCAGCGCCGACUCUUUUGGGGCCAGGAAGGAAUAGAGGGGCCGCGUGGAAAGAGCCCGAGAGGGAGCACCAGCCAGUUCACCUCUGGCCCUGUCUGCUGUGCCACCUCUGGCCUUAUUUACUGGCAGGCGGGUCAGGCAACCUCUCCGAGCCCGUUUCCUCAUCUGUAACGUGGAUGACAGCCAGCGCUCACCGAGCAUUUAUUCUCGCUGGCAGCAUCAGGCAUUUUUCCUGCCUGGUCUUACUGCCUCCUCCCGCCCACAGUUGUGGGGAGGACUGGAUUGCCAUUCAAUAAACACAGGGGCUGAGGCUCAGAGGGAAGAAGGCGUGUGGCCUUCCAGCCACGGACCUGGGCAAACUCUUAAGCCUCUUGGGGACGCAGGUUCCCCAUCUAUCCAAGGGCGCCUUUGUAAGCAUGAAAUGGAUAAACAAACGCCGUGCACAUGGAACGUUAUAAAAUCCUGUACACAUGCCGCAGUUAUAACUAUGUUGACCAAUGGUCCUUACAGAGUUUUAAUGAAGAUUAAAUGAGAUAACAAGACGGCAUGACCUAUGGCCAGAGGUGCCAUCAAACACGAAUGUUUUGCUAGCGGCUCAGGGCGCAAAGCAGAGCCUCGCCCAGAUUGGGCCUUGUCGGGAGGGGACGUGGCUGGUGGCCGAGUCACCAGUAGGAGGCGGCCUGGUUUCAGGCCUCAGAAGGGACACGUGGGAGGAGGCAGGUCUGAGAUGCCUCUGGUUUCCUGGCCCCUUUCAGCCCCAGUGCCCUUGAGCAAGUCCUUCCUCUUCCCCCUCUGCCCUCCUGUUCCUUCAUCUGUGAAAUGGGGACAGCUUUUCUCGAGGGCUCAGAUGGUGAGGAUCAGACAGGAUUAGAGACGUCAGAGCAUCUGGAGAGUGUAGAGGGUUUGCGUUCUCAGCUGCCCGUCAUCGCUACGCCCAGUACAGGUAGCCUUGCCUCUCAAGGGCAGAUAAACAGGCAGCCGGAUGUGCCCCCAGCAGCAUCGAGGCUGGGCCCUGGGAACCACAGGGGAGAGAGACUUGAGAGAGUCUUAAGUCAGCCUGGGAAAGGGAAGAAGACAGCGGAUAGGACAGUUCCCAGGCCCCGGGACCAGUGAGAGGCCUCAUGCCCUGUGGGCAGUCGGGCCAAGGGCCGAGUGCUUGAAGGCAGAGAAGUGACAGAGGCAUGGCUUUUAGCUCCAGGAGGAGAGGACCUCAUGGGGCAGCUGGCUUUUUGAGGGUGGAACAUCAUGGGAGGCCGGUGGGGUCCUCAGAGGUGAGCUGAGCAUCCUGGAGCCUCUUGGGACCCAGGUCUGUUUGUGGUUUCCUGUCAGACAGAGGUUUGAGAAGCCAGAGGUCCCCACGGUGCUACCCCGGCUUCUGGCAGCUGUGGGCAGAUAACACAGGCGCCUCGCUUUCCCAGGAGACGGUUGGAGGGUAAAUAUAAGUGCUGAACAGGUUCUCUGACGCGUGUGGGGAGGAUCCCUGGGGACCAUCUGAGCUCAGUGGGGCUUGGGCAGGAAGCAGGGGUGCCUUUGUGGGAGUCCGGCUGGAUGACUCUGGGCUCACGCGGCCCUCCGAUUCCAAGUUCCCUUGGCUGUUUCGAUGGCAUCUACGGCCCAUCUGGCCCUGUCUAGGUUCGAUCUGAGCUGUCUGCGAUCUGUCUGCACCGAGUCUGGUUCGUCCGGAGCUGCUGUCUGCUUUCUGUCAGGUCCUGUCUGCGAUCUGCUCGGACCCGGUCGCUCUUCUCUUUAGAUCUCAACUGGCAACACGCCCACUAGACACUGUUCGGAUCCUGUCUCGAUUUGAUUUGGGCUUUG